CUUAUCAGAGAUCUCACCUCUGUGCUAAUUGCUUUCCUGGCUGAUUGAAAUGAAAAUAAGCAGUAGGGGUACUAAUGGGAGCCAGACACUGUAUUCAAGAAAACACUGCUUGAAUGCUGGUCCUGCUACUUGCACAGAAAAAAAAAAAAAAAAAAAAAAGAAAGGGAGAAGUCAAAAGGAGGUGUCCUCCUUGUCAACAUUCAUCCAGCUUGUAAUGACAUUAACACCUGAAGUGAUUUGAAGCGAAUGGCUUUAAGGCACAAUCCAACUCUGCUUGUUACCUGCAAGGUCUCACUUUCCAUGGGUGACACCUAGUGCCAUGUGGCUGCUGCUGCCCCCCUACCCCAGCAAGAGCCCUUCAGGAACUGUGUCACACAGUCUCAGCCCCUUAAUUGCAUGUUCUGUCCCUCACCCAGGUCCUCAGAGCACACCCUCUUUCCUUAAAAGAGGCUCUGUGCAUGAAUCCAGAGCUCGACUAACAUCCUCUGGUGCUUACCUGUUCUGUGGCUGGAGGAUACAAGUGAGGAAGCAGCAUAAACACCCAGCCUCAAGGAACAGACUUGGCUCUGGCUGAAGAUGUCACUAAUGCCAUAUAGGUUCUGUUACAGGCUGAGGAACCUAUAGCAGAAUGGGAGCCAAAGACAGAGGCACCAGAAAAGAUUGAGGAGGCAAAAUAAGAGUACAAAGUCUUCACAAACCACUUGUCAUUGCGUACAUACGUGCCUACCACAUUUCUUCUUCAGUCAUGAUUUUGAUUCGUGCUAGUCCUGAAUGUUAUCUCCUGCCAUGGUGUGUGCAUGAAAGGAAAAUAAUCCUCAUGGGAUCUGGAAUUCUUGUAUUCCUGACUCCCCAUGCUUCUCAGGACCACCGAAAGAAACAACUGCUCGCACCCAGGCCAGGUGCUGGAACAGCUUGGACUGGGAUGCACUGCCCAGUGGAGACACAGUUUAGCAGCAGCUGAACCUGGAGAUCAGCCGGUGCCCCAGACUUUAAACCUUUCCACAAACUCAGUCUUUCUGUCAUCUUUACUGCGGUGCUCACAGAAGAAAUGCUUCAGAG
rnacentral:lncRNA from 1 species